rnacentral:misc_RNA from 1 species
GAUGGAAGAACGUAGCGAAAUGCGAUACGUAGUGUGAAUCGCAGAAUUCCGUGAACCAUCAAAUCUUUGAACGCAUAUUGCGCUCGAGGCUUCGGCCGAGAGCAUGUCUGCCUCAGCGUCGGUAGUACCCCUCGCUUCUCAACCCCUGGUUGAUGCCUGCCUGCCUUUGCAGUUGGCUAGAAGCGGAUCUGGCUUUCCCAAUUGCCUUUGGUAGUUGGGUCAGCUGAAGCACAGAGGCUUGAGCAAGGACCCUUAUUGGGCUUCAACUGGAUAGGUAGAACUGGUCUUAGGACCAACUACACGAAGUUGUUGCUUGUGGUCUUUGUCUGGAGGCCAGCAGGAAACCUUUAUACCUUCGACCUGAGCUCAGGCAAGAUUACCCGCUGAACUUAAGCAUAUCAAUAAGCGGAGGA